UACGUAGGGUGCGAGCGUUGUCCGGAAUUACUGGGCGUAAAGAGCUCGUAGGUGGUUUGUCGCGUUGUCCGUGAAAACUCACAACUCAAUUGUGGGCGUGCGGGCGAUACGGGCAGACUGGAGUACUGCAGGGGAGACUGGAACUCCUGGUGUAGCGGUGGAAUGCGCAGAUAUCAGGAGGAACACCGGUGGCGAAGGCGGGCCUCUGGGCAGUAACUGACGCUGAGGAGCGAAAGCGUGGGGAGCGAACAGG
rnacentral:rRNA from 1 species